UUGUUUUUAUGUUUUGAAGAAAGUGUUAUUGAUUUUGGAUUGCACUAAAGACUAUGGAUAAAGGUGAAUGCCUCAAACGGUCAAGCCGAACGUCUUGUGUUCGAAGCAUUCAGAAUGAGUGUAGGAAAGCUCCAGUCUCAUCCCUUCUUUAUCACUUAAGGCUCGUGACGUACGAUCCUAAUCGCCAUUUAUUGUAUUUUUGAAUUUG
rnacentral:lncRNA from 1 species